CACGUAGGGUGCAAGCGUUGUCCGGAAUUAUUGGGCGUAAAGGGCUCGUAGGCGGUCCGUCACGUCGGGAGUGAAAACCCGAGGCUUAACCUCGGGCCUGCAUUCGAUACGGGCAGACUCGAGUGUGGUAGGGGAGACUGGAACUCCUGGUGUAGCGGUGAAAUGCGCAGAUAUCAGGAAGAACACCGGUGGCGAAGGCGGGUCUCUGGGCCACUACUGACGCUGAGGAGCGAAAGCGUGGGGAGCGAACAGG
rnacentral:rRNA from 1 species